rnacentral:lncRNA from 1 species
UUCAAAGGCUGAUGUACUCCUAAGUACUUUUCAUUCUCACUGGUUAAGGAAAAAAAAAACACCCUUUCAGAGUGGAAAUGCUCAACUGGGGUUGGGGGUAGGGCGCUCCCCCCCACAACCUCAUUCACCUAAGAGUGGGUCCCCUGGCCAGCUUAAAAAGGCAGAGACGUUGGGAGACAAAAGUAGUGGGCAGAGUGCCCCAGGGAGAGCAGAUGGGGAGAAGGGAAGAGAAAGGGCUUCCCCUGCUUCCUGCUCCUUCCCCUGAACAUGGAGUGCUGAUGUAGUCAUGGCUUUUAAACAACAUUACACACACUUGUCGGCCAAGAUAAAAUGUUAUUAAGAUUAAAUGCCGAGCAGGGAACGAAUCUGACUUCCCACUGUCAUAUUUCAGCUAUGGUGAGUGAUUGCAUUUCGGUAGCCCCAGCUCCUAAGCAGGGAAACAGCAUUAUUAUCAUUAAUAAGCCCAUAAUGGGGAAGAGAAAUUACAAACAUCUCUGCAACAAGCAGCCCUCCAAUGUUAAUAUUUUAUGAGCACACAGAGAAGUCUUCGACUGAAUGUAAUGGCAAGUUAUACAUAACCAUAAUGUAAACACGCAUAAUUGGGUUGAGUUGAUGGGGGUGGGGGAGGAUGACGACAAUGGGCUGAGGAGUCACCUGUGGCCCUGGAUGGAUCUCCAAAGACAGAAUGUCUGGAGCCCAGGAAGACCCCUGUCACCUAGAGUCAUCUCUUCUGCCCCUUGUGUUUUCAGGGUGGCUCCAUCUCGCUGGGACCCUAGUGGGCAGGGAGAUGGCUUGUUCUAGCACACCAUCUAACACAUCAUGCCUGUCGUAUAGUCCAUGGCUUUCAAAACCUAUUUAUGGAGUGCCUACUAGAUGCUGCUACCACACCAGUGACUUUAUGUAAAGGCAAGAACACCUCUGGCUGAAAGCCUGUCUCUCCUUCCCCUUCCCCUUCCCUUGCCCUGCCUCCCCGAUUUCUUGCUCCCCCUGCUCCUA